rnacentral:rRNA from 1 species
AGAACGAACGCUGGCGGCAUGCCUAAUACAUGCAAGUCGAACGAACACUUCGGUGUUAGUGGCGCACGGGUGCGUAACGCGUGGGAAUCUGCCCUUGGGUUCGGAAUAACAGUUGGAAACGACCGCUAAUACCGGAUGAUAUCGAAAGAUCAAAGAUUUAUCGCCCAGGGAUGAGCCCGCGUAGGAUUAGCUAGUUGGUGAGGUAAAGGCUCACCAAGGCGACGAUCCUUAGCUGGUCUGAGAGGAUGAUCAGCCACACUGGGACUGAGACACGGCCCAGACUCCUACGGGAGGCAGCAGUAGGGAAUAUUGGACAAUGGGGGCAACCCUGAUCCAGCAAUGCCGCGUGAGUGAUGAAGGCCUUAGGUUGUAAGCUCUUUACCCGAGAUGAUAAUGACAGUAUCGGAGAAUAAGCUCCGCUAACUCCGUGCCAGCAGCCGC